rnacentral:rRNA from 1 species
AGCACCGGCUAACUCCGUGCCAGCAGCCGCGGUAAUACGGAGGGUGCGAGCGUUAAUCGGAAUUACUGGGCGUAAAGCGCAUGCAGGUGGUUUGUUAAGUCAGAUGUGAAAGCCCGGGGCUCAACCUCGGAAUUGCAUUUGAAACUGGCAGACUAGAGUACUGUAGAGGGGGGUAGAAUUUCAGGUGUAGCGGUGAAAUGCGUAGAGAUCUGAAGGAAUACCGGUGGCGAAGGCGGCCCCCUGGACAGAUACUGACACUCAGAUGCGAAAGCGUGGGGAGCAAACAGGAUUAGAUACCCUGGUAGUCCACGCCGUAAACGAUGUCUACUUGGAGGUUGUGGCCUUGAGCCGUGGCUUUCGGAGCUAACGCGUUAAGUAGACCGCCUGGGGAGUACGGUCGCAAGAUUAAAACUCAAAUGAAUUGACGGGGGCCCGCACAAGCGGUGGAGCAUGUGGUUUAAUUCGAUGCAACGCGAAGAACCUUACCUACUCUUGACAUCCAGAGAACUUUCCAGA